GCGGGUGUGGUGAAAUUGGUAGACACGCUAGAUUUAGGAUCUAGUGCUUAAUCGCGUGGGGGUUCGAGUCCCUUCACCCGCA
rnacentral:tRNA from 1 species